CCAUUACUCUGUCAUCAGAGAUAUCAGCUCUAGGUUGGCCGCUGAGCAUUAGCCCAUGUAGCCUGAUAUGAGUUCAUGGGGCUGGAAUUCAAAACACUAACCAGCUGUGGGAACCCAGUGAGAAGCCUGUCACACUGAAUGCUGUCCAGAUUAGAGCUGUGAGAAUUUGGGAAAACCCUUCUUGUUAAAUUUCUUCCACUUCUUAAUGCUUCAUUUUAAAUUAGAAGUUAGUGAGCCACACACUACCAUCAAACAUGCAGGACCUCUGUAACUUCCACUGGGACAGGAACAGUUCAACCUAUUCACUUCUAAGAGCUAGCCACAAAUUAUUGAGGACUGGUGCCUGCGAAAGAGAAAAAAAAGAUCAUGCUAUUCCUUGGAGAAACCUUGAAAAAGAGCAAAGAGAAGUUUACUCAUUCCAAUGUGCUCUAUUAUCUUGGUGUCAUUUAUUACCAAUGAAAUGAAUUGCAUCUAUAUUUGACUUCUAUCAAGAGUUUUGCAAGGCUGUUGCCAGAAAAAUAAUUUUUCCUUUUAGAUUGAUUUUUAAAGAUUUUUUCUGAAUUCUAAAUUGUAACUUUCUGAUAUCCUGUGAUCAGUCCUUUUCCCCAGUGAGAAAUAGUUCUCCAAUUUUAUAAUGAACAUUUGUGAGGGGGAUAUGAUCCAACAUACAUUUAUUUUAAGGUAAUUUUUCCAGAAUAGGUAUAAUUUCAUGAGGUUGACAAUACAUUUUUUUAAUUCUGUCUAAUAUAUAUAUUAGGGGCAUCUCGUAGAAGUUGGGAGCUUCAGAAAAAUUAUUUCUGUCACCUGAUCAAAGGAUCUCAGUAGUUUUACCGUCAAGUCAAAAAUAAGGAAAUAGAGUUGGCUUUCUGAAUUAUCUGAAUUAGAGAUUUUCAAUCUGGAACCUGCAUCAGAAUCACCUGGAGGACUUGUUAAACCCCAGGUCCCUAGUCUCCAGCCCCAGGGUUUUUGGUUCAAAAGUUCUGAAUUGGAGUCCCUGAAAGGGCAUUUCUAACAAGUUCCUGGAUGAUGCAGAUUCUACUGGUCUGGGGACCACACUUUGGGAACCACUGACCUAAAUAUAUAUUAGCAUAGAAGCUUGAGUGACAGAAAAUUAUAAUUUCUCCAUUCUGACUAUGUAGCCUCAAGCCAGCUAAACAUUUUGACAGGCAGGCAAAAUAAGAAGGGAGCCUCCACCUACCCAUUCUGGAAACAAAAACUGAAUGUAGAUAUCCUUGGUGUGAACAGAAUUGCCCUAGUUUUGAGUUCAGCCAUAGCAGAGCGCAUAUCAGUUCAAAAUUAGAGAACAUAUUGUCCAAAUUUCACGCUAAGGAAGCUCAUUUGGUCACUCCAUAAUCCUGGUCACAUAGGUGCACAAAGCAUCAAGAUUUGGGGGGAAGGGAAUGCAGGAGGGAAUGAUUUGGUUUGCCCUCCCCUGCCCUCUCCCUGCCCCAUGAUUGCCAUUAGCAACAUGACAAAGUAUCUAUAAGACCUCUAGUUUCAGGGUGUGAACCAAAGUCCCACCAGUGUGACCCAAGGAAAUGAAUUUCAUCACUUCGGCUGGACCACUGAUCUCUGUGAAUGUUAAAAAGAUAAUCAGAGCAAAUCUGUUCACUUAUGUCGGUGACGGACACAGAUGAAGAAGAGAUUUCCCCUCCGCCUGCUUGACUACCACAAGUGGUCACAAGUGAAAGUUGGUCUUUAACAAAAUGUUGGCCAGAGGAAGAGGGAGCUGAGCUUUGGGUAUGGGCUGAAUUCUUGAAUUACGCAGCUAAGGCUGUGAAGAAGCAAGCAGCCAUGUUGCAAAAGGUGGCCUAUGGAGAGCUCUAUGUUGCAAACACAAAACAAAACAAAAGAAAAACACCGAAAGACCAUGGGAUGGCUGUAAGAACCGAGGACUCAGUUCUACAGCUGCAAGGAACUGAAUUCUGCCAACAGCCUGAGUGAACCAGAAGUGGAUCCUUCCCCACGCAAACCUCCAGAUGAAAGAGCAGCCCAGUGAAGACUAUGAUUAGUGGCGAGACUCUGCUGUAGAGACCCAGCUAAGCCGAACCCAGAUUCCUGAACCACAAAGACUGUGAGAUAAUAAAUGUUGUCCGAUCAUCUGCAUUUAUAGCACACACUGUGUGUGUUUGUUCCAGGAAAAGCCAAUCGCUCAUGUAACCUAGUGAUGGAGGAUGCUGCAGAGGCUGUGUCAGAAAAAGCACUGGGAUUUGCUAUGAUUGGACAGAUGUGGAUCACACGCUUAUCCAUGAUAAGCCUGGAUCAUGGGAACACCCUGGCAUGUGGGCGUGGAGUGAGCUCUACUCACACCCCAUAACCUGAUUGUGGAGAAAGAGAAGACUUCAAGGAACAUAGGAAUGCUUUUACCAGAAGAAGAGAUUCUGGACAGGAAAACAGCAGCCAAUGUCCACCACAUGGGAGAAGGACUUACCUGAGAUUAUGAUUCAACAUACUCAGUUGGAAACCCAAGGCCAUUGACAUUCAACCCUCAAAGGGCCCAAGAGAUUCAUACAGCUCAGCUUCCUCGUUUUACAAAUGAUAAAAAUGGAGGCCCUCACUGUAUAAUGGUUCAGCCACUCUGGAAGACAGUCUGGCAGUUCCUUAGAAAACUAGAUAUAGAGUUACCCUUCAAUCCAGCAAUUGCA